AUUAGAUUAAAAACCAAUGCCCUUCGGGGCUCACUGGUGAUUCAUGAUAACUCCUCGAAUCGCAUGGCCUUGUGCCGGCGAUGGUUCAUUCAAAUUUCUUCCCUAUCAACUUUCGAUGUUUGGGUAUUGGCCAAACAUGGUUGCAACGGGUAACGGAGGGUUAGGGCUCGACCCCGGAGAAGGAGCCUGAGAAACGGCUACUACAUCCAAGGAAGGCAGCAGGCGCGCAAAUUACCCAAUCCCGACACGGGGAGGUAGUGACAAUAAAUACUGAUACAAGGCUCUUUUGGGUCUUGUAAUUGGAAUGAGUACAAUUUAAAUCCCUUAACGAGGAACAAUUGGAGGGCAAGUCUGGUGCCAGCAGCCGCGGUAAUUCCAGCUCCAAUAGCGUAUAUUAAAGUUGUUGUGGUUAAAAAGCUCGUAGUUGAACCUUGGGCCUGGCUGGCCGGUCCGCCUGACCGCGUGUACUGGUCCGGCCGGGCCUUUCCCUCUGUGGAACCCAUGCCCUUCACUGGG
rnacentral:rRNA from 1 species